CCUACGGGAGGCAGCAGUGGGGAAUAUUGCACAAUGGGGGGAACCCUGAUGCAGCGACGCCGCGUGAGUGAAGAAGUAUUUCGGUAUGUAAAGCUCUAUCAGCAGGGAAGAAAAUGACGGUACCUGACUAAGACGCCCCGGCUAACUACGUGCCAGCAGCCGCGGUAAUACGUAGGGGGCAAGCGUUAUCCGGAUUUACUGGGUGUAAAGGGAGCGUAGACGGUUAUGCAAGUCUGAAGUGAAAGCCCAAGGCUCAACCAUGGGACUGCCUUUGAAACUGGCAAACUGGAGUGUGUGAGAGGAGAGUGGAAUUCCAGGUGUAGGAGUGAAAUCCGUAGAUAUCUGGAGGAACAUCAGUGGCGAAGGCGACUAGCUGGCACAUAACUGACGCUGAGGAGCGAAAGCGUGGGUAGCAAACAGGAUUAGAUACCCGGGUAGUC
rnacentral:rRNA from 1 species